AAUCAACGCUGGCGGCGUGCCUCAGACAUGCAAGUCGAACGAUUAAAGCUCUCUUCGGAGAGUGUAUAGAGUGGCGCACGGGUGAGUAACACGUAAGUAAUCUACCUUUGAGUGGGGAAUAACAGUCGGAAACGACUGCUAAUACCGCAUAAUGCAGCGGCAUCGCAAGAUGACAGUUGUUAAAGGAGCAAUCCGCUUAAAGAGGAGCUUGCGGCAGAUUAGCUUGUUGGUAAGGUAACGGCUUACCAAGGCUACGAUCUGUAUCCGGUCUAAGAGGACGGUCGGACACACUGACACUGAAUAACGGGUCAGACUCCUACGGGAGGCAGCAGUCGGGAAUUUUGGGCAAUGGGCGAAAGCCUGACCCAGCAACGCCGCGUGAAGGAUGAAGUAAUUUCGGUAUGUAAACUUCGAAAGAAUGGGAAGAAUCAAUGACGGUACCAUUUAUAAGCUCCGGCUAACUACGUGCCAGCCGCCGCGGUAA
rnacentral:rRNA from 1 species